GCGAUACAGGGUGACAGCCCCGUACACAAAAAUGCACAUAUUGUGAGCUCGAUGAGUAGGGCGGGACACGUGGUAUCCUGUCUGAAUAUGGGGGGACCAUCCUCCAAGGCUAAAUACUCCUGACUGACCGAUAGUGAACCAGUACCGUGAGGGAAAGGCGAAAAGAACCCCGGCGAGGGGAGUGAAAAAGAACCUGAAACCGUGUACGUACAAGCAGUGGGAGCCUCUUAAUGGGGUGACUGCGUACCUUUUGUAUAAUGGGUCAGCGACUUAUAUUCUGUAGCAAGGUUAACCGAAUAGGGGAGCCGAAGGGAAACCGAGUCUUAACUGGGCGUUAAGUUGCAGGGUAUAGACCCGAAACCCGGUGAUCUAGCCAUGGGCAGGUUGAAGGUUGGGUAACACUAACUGGAGGACCGAACCGACUAAUGUUGAAAAAUUAGCGGAUGACUUGUGGCUGGGGGUGAAAGGCCAAUCAAACCGGGAGAUAGCUGGUUCUCCCCGAAAGCUAUUUAGGUAGCGCCUCGUGAAUUCAUCUCCGGGGGUAGAGCACUGUUUCGGCAAGGGGGUCAUCCCGACUUACCAACCCGAUGCAAACUGCGAAUACCGGAGAAUGUUAUCACGGGAGACACACGGCGGGUGCUAACGUCCGUCGUGAAGAGGGAAACAACCCAGACCGCCAGCUAAGGUCCCAAAGUCAUGGUUAAGUGGGAAACGAUGUGGGAAGGCCCAGACAGCCAGGAUGUUGGCUUAGAAGCAGCCAUCAUUUAAAGAAAGCGUAAUAGCUCACUGGUCGAGUCGGCCUGCGCGGAAGAUGUAACGGGGCUAAACCAUGCACCGAAGCUGCGGCAGCGACACUAUGUGUUGUUGGGUAGGGGAGCGUUCUGUAAGCCUGUGAAGGUGGCCUGUGAGGGUUGCUGGAGGUAUCAGAAGUGCGAAUGCUGACAUAAGUAACGAUAAAGCGGGUGAAAAGCCCGCUCGCCGGAAGACCAAGGGUUCCUGUCCAACGUUAAUCGGGGCAGGGUGAGUCGACCCCUAAGGCGAGGCCGAAAGGCGUAGUCGAUGGGAAACAGGUUAAUAUUCCUGUACUUGGUGUUACUGCGAAGGGGGGACGGAGAAGGCUAUGUUGGCCGGGCGACGGUUGUCCCGGUUUAAGCGUGUAGGCUGGUUUUCCAGGCAAAUCCGGAAAACCAAGGCUGAGGCGUGAUGACGAGGCACUACGGUGCUGAAGCGACAAAUGCCCUGCUUCCAGGAAAAGCCUCUAAGCAUCAGGUAACAUCAAAUCGUACCCCAAACCGACACAGGUGGUCAGGUAGAGAAUACCAAGGCGCUUGAGAGAACUCGGGUGAAGGAACUAGGCAAAAUGGUGCCGUAACUUCGGGAGAAGGCACGCUGAUAUGUAGGUGAAGCGACUUGCUCGUGGAGCUGAAAUCAGUCGAAGAUACCAGCUGGCUGCAACUGUUUAUUAAAAACACAGCACUGUGCAAACACGAAAGUGGACGUAUACGGUGUGACGCCUGCCCGGUGCCGGAAGGUUAAUUGAUGGGGUUAGCGGCAACGCGAAGCUCUUGAUCGAAGCCCCGGUAAACGGCGGCCGUAACUAUAACGGUCCUAAGGUAGCGAAAUUCCUUGUCGGGUAAGUUCCGACCUGCACGAAUGGCGUAAUGAUGGCCAGGCUGUCUCCACCCGAGACUCAGUGAAAUUGAACUCGCUGUGAAGAUGCAGUGUACCCGCGGCAAGACGGAAAGACCCCGUGAACCUUUACUAUAGCUUGACACUGAACAUUGAGCCUUGAUGUGUAGGAUAGGUGGGAGGCUUUGAAGUGUGGACGCCAGUCUGCAUGGAGCCGACCUUGAAAUACCACCCUU
rnacentral:rRNA from 1 species